CAUUUUUGUGUUUUAUAUACAGUAUUAUGUUCUUUUGUGUUUUAUAUUUUGAGACUAAGAAACUCUAAUUCGUUUGGCCGUUGUUGGUGUAACAAUAACAUGCGCUGCCGGCCGAAUUGGGAACCGGGUUGAAAUUCGGCCUUCCGUUCGCACGAGAACCACGGAACCGGACGAAUUUGAGACCACCUAACAGGACCACGUACUGAUCUGAUAACAAGAUGAAUUCGCGUGUAAACAGGCGAAAAGGACAAAUUGCAGCCCGGUCCCAAAUUCGUCCGGUACCGUGUAAACGGUGUCCAAGUCGAACUUUAUCAACAAUACAACCGGAACCACGGUGUAAGACUAAAAUUAUAAAAAAUGCUAAUUAUGGUAUAUGCUGUUGAGUCGUUUUGAAAUUUGAGUGGAUUGUUGCAAGCUAAAGACUGUAUUAUUGUAUUGUGUAAAUUUUACAUAUUCCCUUGUGCGAGUAAAAUGCGCGCAUAGCAGAGUGGCAUGCGAGUUUAGGUUUUUGUCGAGGGUGGUAGGUCUAGUGUCGAGGGUCCAAAGUCGAGGAUAAAAAGUCAAGGGUCAUAUAAAAGAGUUGAGGGUCAAAUUAAAAAGUUGAGGGUCAUAUAUAAAAAGUCGAGGGUCAUAUUUUUUAAAAUAUUUAAUUUAUUUUAUUUUUAAACUACUGCCGAAGAUUAAUUUGUUGUGUUGGGGCUAAAACGUUUUACUGCCUGUGUUACCACUAGCUUUGCCAAUGUUUCUAGUAUCGUAGUAAGUAUUGCGGGCUCUUCGAUUUCGGGAACCUCCAAAAUAUACAAACUCGAAAGCAAAGUCAAAGAGCAUUUAUUAUAAAUAUUAACUUAAAAGAGUUUCUAAACGUAGUAUAAUUUCAUAAACAGACCAAUGUUCAACCUCGCAUCACGCAAGGGUCCCCGUCCUGUGGAGACCCUUGCUUGCGCGGUUGGCCAAUGUUUGGCCGUGUGACGAGCAAUAUUGAUUAUUGACGGAAUCACUUAGCAUGAAUUGGUUUCUUGAAACAGUGGCAUGUCUGCCCCGCUCUCAGAUCUGGCAGAAAACAUAUACGUUUUUUAUCAUAACUUGCUGUUGGUAAUAUAUUUUGCCAUUACUGGCUUGAGGAUUACAGCUGCCUGAUAAUCUAUGCUGUUACGUUAAUUUGAUAAGAAAGCAUGCAAAGAGACCGUUCUGAUAUUAGACAUAAAUAUUAAACUUGCGAGCGGGAAGGGACUCAAAGUACCCAGGGUCUUUCCUCUUGUGGAGAAAAGACCCUGGUGCAUGGACGCUGGUCACGUGAACUGCAAAAAUCUAGCAGAUUUCUAAUUAACUAUCUUGGCUUCCUUUACGACAAUUAUACAAAAAGC